rnacentral:rRNA from 1 species
UACGUAGGGGGCUAGCGUUGUCCGGAAUCAUUGGGCGUAAAGAGCGUGUAGGCGGCCCGGUAAGUCCGCUGUGAAAUCCUGGAGCUCAACUCCAGAACUGCCUUUGAUACUGGGGAGCUCGAGUCCGGAAGAGGUGAGUGGAACUCCGAGUGUAGAGGUGAAAUUCGUAGAUAUUCGGAAGAACACCAGUGGCGAAGGCGGCUCACUGGUCCGGUACUGACGCUGAGGUGCGAAAGCGUGGGGAGCAAACAGG